rnacentral:misc_RNA from 1 species
GCUGAAUGUGGUGUGGCAUCUAAUCGUCAUAGAUCCAAAACACCAGAUGCUUGUUUAUUCUUUACAGAUAACGUUAUUGUCAUUGAUCAUCAGUAUGAUGACAUAUAUACUUUGUCAUUACACGAUGGCAGCACAAGUACUACUUCUCGCUUGGAAGAUCUGGAGCAGAGGCUGCUCAACUUGAGAGCUUUUACGCCCAGAAGGCUACAAUCGCAGGCAUCUCGAGGAUUUUCUGUAGUCGAACUAAAAUCAGGGUUUUCUGCUGAGAAAUCAAGAGAGCAGUAUAUCAAAGACGUUGAGAAUUGUCAAGAGUUCAUAAAAGAAGGAGAAAGUUAUGAGUUGUGUCUUACAACUCAGAUGAGAAUGAAGUUGGGGGGAAUAGAUUCUCUGGAACUUUAUCGUAAUCUCAGAAUAAGAAAUCCUGCACCAUAUGCUGCCUGGCUUAAUUUUUCAAGGGAAAACCUAAGCAUAUGUUGUUCAUCACCUGAAAGGUUCCUACGAUUGGACAGGAAUGCUAUUCUAGAAGCAAAACCCAUAAAAGGGACUAUAGCUCGUGGUUCCACCCCAAAGGAAGAUGAAUUUCUGAAACUGCAAUUAGAAUGCAGUGAAAAGGAUCAGGCGGAAAAUUUGAUGAUUGUUGACUUGUUGAGGAAUGACCUUGGGCGUGUAUGUGAGACUGGCUCUGUUCAUGUCCCACAUCUCAUGGAAAUUGAAUCCUAUGCAACAGUUCAUACCAUGGUCAGUACGAUUCGGGGGAAAAAGCGAUCAGAUGCAAGUGCAAUUGAUUGUGUUAGAGCUGCAUUCCCUGGUGGGUCAAUGACAGGUGCACCAAAGUUGAGAUCAAUGGAACUUCUUGAUCAUCUUGAAAAUUGUUCGAGGGGCAUAUACUCGGGCUGCAUUGGAUUUUUUUCUUAUAACCAAGCAUUUGAUCUCAAUAUUGUGAUACGGACGGUUGUCAUACACGAGGGAGAAGCUUCAGUAGGAGCAGGAGGAGCCAUCACUGCUCUUUCAGAUCCUAAUGAUGAGUAUGAAGAAAUGCUUCUUAAAACUCGAGCACCGAUUAAGGCUGUUCUUGAACAUCAGAGCAGCAUCUUCUCAUCAGAUGCUCAGAAGUGACAUGACCAGUUGAAAUGUCCAAUGCAGAAAUAGUGGUAUUGAACUCUCUUAGAUUCUGGGAAAAUGUGGGAGCAAUUGCAGCUUCUAGUAGUUAUAAUUAAAAGGGAGGGGAAACAGUGGAUGAAAGCCUAUAUAAUUCAUGCAAAUAUUUGUCAUGACCUCGUUUUGUCAGCACAAUCUAUUCAUUCUUUUGAGCAUAGUGUUUGGAAAAUAUAGCCAUGGUAGCAUACAGAUCUGCAGUGACUAAAAUACUGUACAUAGAAGAUUUUGAAAGACCUGUAGAAGAUUACAGAUAUGUUUGUGAAGUUGUACUAGUACUGAAUUGAUGAUUCCACGUUUCAUUU